rnacentral:lncRNA from 1 species
UUCCCCCCCCCGUAUUCCCCUUUCCCCCAUUGCCACAUUCCGCCCCCAAUGUCACCUUUUUGAGCUCCAUGCUCACUAGGGACUCCUCGGGGACAUCCUGGGGACGCUCUGGGAGUCGAAGGAGCCUUGGGAUGUCCUCCAUGGCUCUUUGGCACCGCUUCGGCACCCCACAGGCACUGGGGCUGGUAUGGCCACUCUUGCUAUAGCUGCGGAUGAGGUCGUCAGCUAUCCCCACCAGGUGCUCCUUGGCCAGGUGGGCGUUGGCCUCCCACAGCCGUUCGGCCUCGGCCACCUUGGCCACCAAGUCCUCAGGGACAUCAGGGGACUUCUUUGUCCCCUUCAGGGUGGUCUCGGUGUCCCUGAGCACACUCUGCAGCACCUGAGGGAACGUGGUGGCUUUGCGACACGCGGCCACCAAGCGCUCCAGCAGCCCCAGGGCCGGCUCCAGCCGCUCUCUCUCCAUGGUGGCCGUUGUUGCCUCGCUGGCAGCCACCCUGGCCUCUCUCCUCACGGAGGAUUCAGUCCUGGUCCCCACCUCAACCCCCUCCUCCCCACCCAGGGCCUGACCCAGCUCCCCCAUGCGUUCCAGAGCUGUCCCAUCAUGGGCAGCCUCGGCCUGCAGCUCCCUGGCCCGGGUGGUCAUUGCCUCAGUGGCCAUCCUGCAGGUGUCACGGAGCUUGGUGGCCUUCCCGGUCAGCCGGGCCCACCUGUCCACAAGCACAGACACUGAGUGAUGCCACUUUGGGACCGCCAUUGUCACAUGGUCCUGGGUGGUCCAUAGGAUGCUCCUGAGGGCAGCCAGGGCCUGGGUCAGGAAGGUGGGCAUGCCAUAAUCACCACUGGUGACUUUGUGGCACCUCCAGGUGUCAUCAAUGUAGUGCAGGGUGGCCCGCAGCUCCUUGGUGAAUUCCUCCAGGUCCCUGCGCAGGUGCUUUGGGGACUCGAGCAGCAUCUCCUCCUCCUCUUGCGUGGGCAGGGUGUCCAGCAGCUCACCCAGGGUGGCCACCACGGUGACCUGUGGCUGCAGCAGGGCUGGGGACAUCUGUGGAGGGACAGGGGAGGUGUCAGGGACCUGGUGGCAUUUGUGGCCUACUGGGGUGGUCCCAGUGCCCUCAAGGGUUCCCCUUUGUCCUCUCUGUCCCUUUUUCUUCCUCUCAGCCUCUUGCU